GAUGAACGCUGGCGGCGUGCCUAAUACAUGCAAGUCGAGCGAACGGACGAGAAGCUUGCUUCUCUGAUGUUAGCGGCGGACGGGUGAGUAACACGUGGAUAACCUACCUAUAAGACUGGGAUAACUUCGGGAAACCGGAGCUAAUACCGGAUAAUAUUUUGAACCGCAUGGUUCAAAAGUGAAAGACGGUCUUGCUAUCACUUAUAGAUGGAUCCGCGCUGCAUUAGCUAGUUGGUAAGGUAACGGCUUACCAAGGCAACGAUGCAUAGCCGACCUGAGAGGGUGAUCGGCCACACUGGAACUGAGACACGGUCCAGACUCCUACGGGAGGCAGCAGUAGGGAAUCUUCCGCAAUGGGCGAAAGCCUGACGGAGCAACGCCGCGUGAGUGAUGAAGGUCCUCGGAUCGUAAAACUCUGUUAUUAGGGAAGAACAUAUGUGUAAGUAACUGUGCACAUCUUGACGGUACCUAAUCAGAAAGCCACGGCUAACUACGUG
rnacentral:rRNA from 1 species